rnacentral:lncRNA from 1 species
UUGACAAUAGCGACCUUCUUCCACGAGUUCUUGAUGUUGUCAAGAAGUCCAGCCUUGCAGGCUUGGCAGUUGAAGCAGAGAAUGUUUGGAUCGUUCUGCCAUGCAUCACAAUCCGUGUUGUUGAAUGGCCCGGUGGUUUUGGUCCAGGUUGUUGGGUUCUGAAAGGUGAAGUCACAGUCAUUUGAUGGCUUGCAGCAACCGGACUGUCAAUAAACAAACAACAUCCAUUGUCAGUUCACUACCCAAAUUCAGUGUAUCUCAGAAACCCAGUACCCAGAUAUAUAGAUUUACAUACACGUACACAUAUAUGCAUACACAAACCCAGAAUAGACGCAAAUAAAAUAUAAACACAUAACAGAUAGCAUACACUCAGAAUAAAAAUAGAGAAGAAUGCUAAUCUUAACCCUCUACACACAUAAAUCAUACACAAAACCCAGUAAAGAGCCAUAGAUAUAUGCACAUAACAAAUAAGACAGACUUAAAACAACACCGGAGAAGCAUGCUACUCUUAACCCCAAAAAAAGUUGGCGCAAAGAAAUAUUGUGAACUCUGAAAGGUUAAUGAAUCAUUGUAUCAAAGAAUUGGGAAUCCAAUUAUGAGUUUAUUUCUGCAAUAAAAAAACUGAGUAAAUUCGUUUCUGUGAUCUGCAACUUGAUCAUGGAGCCACAUAGAUUACAGAGCAAACAAGAUAAUAAAGUAGAAUGAAGGUCAUUAGUUGAAAUCCACUUAUGCCCUUGAUAUGGUCAAAAAGUUUUUCCUACGAGAAAUCAGUCUUUUUCAUGAAAACUUGAAUUUUAUUGAACAAAAGAUUCAGGUUAUGGAGCAAAAGAUUAUGUUUCCAGAUAAAGUUAACUCUAAAUAUCAAAAUAGAAAUUUACGAUGACCUUUAAUCUCACAAAAAAUAUGUUAUCUGAAAGGAGAAUAUAAAAGAAAAACAAAAAGACACACAACUUUUUAAUAAAGAACAGACAGAAUCUUUUUCUUUAAAAUUGAGGCUCUGACCUUAAUCCAAAUUCAAAAACUAUGCCAAGACACAAACAAUCGCACUUUGGAAAACACCCAUAUGCAACUCUCAUUUGGUUGCCUAACUAUGGAAGUGGGAUAGAGAAGUUAAAUUGAGAUCUCAAACAAUUGAAUCAAAACCCAAAAUUCACGUGUUAGGAAGAUAAGGUAAACACAGAUCUGAGAAGAUUGAACCCACAUAAAAAUUGAUAAUCAUUUCACAAAGACCAGCAAAAACCCAUAGAUGAAAGGUUUUCCGAAUUGUAAUCUCAGAUCCCAAACAGGUGUAAAGAGAAGAAAUGAAUCCAUACCUGAAUAGACGUCAACUGCUCGCUGAAGAAGUCGUUAACAGUAUCACUAGCAAACCUAUCAUGGAACUCGGUGCAGACCUUGCUGUCGAUCAAGCAACUCUUGAUCUUGUUCCAGUUCUUGGCGUUGCUCACUCUUUUUUGAAGCCAAUUCGAGUAAUCACCAAGCCUGUACUCCUUAUACCCUUUACCAGACAACACCUCACCCGCACCCUUGUUGGUAACGACGAAAGCGAAGAUGGUGAAGCAGAAAACGAGUACAAUCAGCAAGAACAUGACAACUAGGUAAAGCCAGAGCAGCCAUGAAACUCUGCAGCAGGCACCGAUGAGUCCGGCGAGGGAGACCAGAAGGAGGAAGACGCCGAGCACAAUCACCGGCUUAUCAAGAAAUUUCUCGCAUUCGCUGGCGCCAUUCUUGCUCAGCCAGAUUCCACCCGCAAGAAUCGGGAUGGAGAGUAGAAACGUUAGAAAAUUAAGAAUCCCGACGAGGUUGUUGCUGAGACGAAACAUGACGGUGCGAGGCGGUUGUUUGGGUAGCGAGAAAAGGAAGGGAAAGCGAAGGAAGUUUGCGAAAGCGAAAAAUACCUAGAGAGAAAAAACAGGAAAUCGGAACAAAAGAUUAUGAUGGAGAUGAUG